rnacentral:rRNA from 1 species
GAUAAACGCUGGCGGCGUGCGUAAAACAUGUAAGUCGAACGCCUCAACGCAAGUUGGGGAGUGGCGGACGGCUGAGUAACGCGUAGGUGACUUGCCCUAAAGUGGGGAAUAACGAUUCGAAAGAACCGCUAAUACCGCAUGUGGUUGUGCGUAUAGACGCGUGCAACUAAAGCCCGCAAGGGCGCUUUGGGAGAGGCCUGCGUCCGAUUAGCUAGUUGGUGGGGUAAAGGCCUACCAAGGCUCCGAUCGGUAGCUGGUCUGAGAGGAUGAUCAGCCAGACUGGGACUGAGACACGGCCCAGACUCCUACGGGAGGCAG